UUUUAUGAGAACAUAUCAGUUGAAGGAGUUUCUGUUGCAAUUUGUGUGAGGUCAUGUUGCAUAAUGCCUGUACUAAGUUACAAUUUUAGAAAUAU